UUGUGCAUGUGGGUCUCUGGUUAGUUUUGCUGGUUUGCUUUCAGCUUUUCAAUCUACUGCUGUGCAAAUCCAUGCAAAACUGAUCAUAGAACUGAAAUGAGG
ensembl:miRNA mir19b-1 microRNA mir-19b-1